AUGCUUGUUUUGGAAGCUCAUAUACUAAAAUUGGAAUGAUACCGAGAAGAUUAACAUGGCCCCUGGGGAAAGAUGACACUCAAAUUUGUAAAGCAUUCCAUGUAUUU
ensembl:snRNA Gm26072 U6 spliceosomal RNA